AGAGUUUGAUCCUGGCUCAGAACGAACGCUGGCGGCGUGCCUAACACAUGCAAGUCGAGCGAGAAAGCCCGCAAGGGUGAGUAAAGCGGCGCACGGGUGCGUAACACGUGGGUAAUCUGCCCUAGAGUCCGGAAUAACUCGCCGAAAGGCGUGCUAAUGCCGGAUGAGACCACGGGAGCCUCGGCUCCUGCGGGAAAAGGUGGCCUCUGUACACAAGCUAUCGCUCUAGGAUGAGCCCGCGGCCCAUCAGCUCGUUGGCGGGGUAAUGGCCCACCAAGGCAACGACGGGUAGCUGGUCUGAGAGGACGAUCAGCCACACUGGAACUGAGACACGGUCCAGACUCCUACGGGAGGCAGCAGUGGGGAAUCUUGCGCAAUGGGCGAAAGCCUGACGCAGCAACGCCGCGUGUGUGAUGAAGGUCUUCGGAUCGUAAAGCACUGUCGCGAGGGACGAAUAAGGGACGGGCGAACAGUCCGUUUCGAUGACGGUACCUCGAGAGGAAGCACCGGCUAACUCUGUGCCAGCAGCCGCGGUAAUACAGAGGGUGCAAGCGUUGUUCGGAAUUAUUGGGCGUAAAGCGCGUGUAGGCGGCCUAGCAAGUCGGAUGUGAAAGCCCUCGGCUUAACCGAGGAAGUGCGUUCGAAACUACUGGGCUU
rnacentral:rRNA from 1 species